rnacentral:rRNA from 1 species
UACGUAGGGUGCGAGCGUUAAUCGGAAUUACUGGGCGUAAAGCGUGCGCAGGCGGUUGGCCAAGUCUGAUGUGAAAGCCCCGGGCUUAACCUGGGAACGGCAUUGGAAACUGGUUGGCUGGAGUAUGGCAGAGGGGGGUGGAAUUCCACGUGUAGCAGUGAAAUGCGUAGAGAUGUGGAGGAACACCGAUGGCGAAGGCAGCCCCCUGGGCCAAUACUGACGCUCAGGCACGAAAGCGUGGGGAGCAAACAG